UACGUAGGGUGCAAGCGUUAAUCGGAAUUACUGGGCGUAAAGCGUGCGCAGACGGUUGCGUAAGUCAGAUGUGAAAGCCCCGGGCUCAACCUGGGAAUUGCAUUUGAGACUGCGUAGCUAGAGUGCGGUAGAGGGUAGUGGAAUUCCCGGUGUAGCGGUGAAAUGCGUAGAGAUCGGGAGGAACACCAGUGGCGAAGGCGGCUACCUGGACCAGCACUGACACUGAGGCACGAAAGCGUGGGGAGCAAACAGGG
rnacentral:rRNA from 1 species